rnacentral:rRNA from 1 species
CGUCAAAUCAUCAUGCCCCUUAUGUCCUGGGCUACACACGUACUACAAUGGCAGUUAACAACGGGAAGCGAAGCCGCGAGGCGGAGCCAAUCCCCAAAAGCUGUCCCAGUUCGGAUUGCAGGCUGAAACCCGCCUGCAUGAAGUCGGAAUUGCUAGUAAUCGCGGAUCAGCAUGCCGCGGUGAAUACGUUCCCGGGCCUU